CUGUCACAACGGCUUCCUGACGUGACAGCGUAACAUCCAUCGGAGCA
rnacentral:ncRNA from 1 species